rnacentral:tRNA from 1 species
GUUGGUAUCGUCUAGUGGUCUAGGAUGUCGCCCUCUCACGGCGGAGACACGGGUUCGAAGCCCGUUACCAAUACCA